ACAAUUUAACAAAAAUAAACAUUCAUAAAUAUAUUACUAUUAACUAGAUCAAUACAGUCAUAGACUUUGAAUUUGUCACUGUGUAUAACAAUGAACAAAGUUUAUAUUGAAAAACAUAACUUGUUGGCACGUUACCCUUUAACAUUAUUUACAUGUUGAUUCUACAAAUUAAGUAAAAUGUAUAUGUCUAUUUUCUUUAACAUUGAGGUGGUCAUGCAUGCAAGAAAGAUGGACACACUGAAAUUUAUCAUAAUAUAACCCACUGUAAAUUUAUAAACUAUGUGCCUGUCCCAAGCCAGGAGACUGUAGUUCAGUGGUUAUUGUUGGUUCAUGUCUGUCAUAUUUGUUUUUCAUAAAUUAUUAAUUUUCUCAAUUGAAUCUCAUGUUGAGGUUUAUUAUAGCUUACUAUAUGGUAUUAGGGUUUUCUCAAUAACCUAUAACAGCUUACAUCCACUUCAUUUGAACUUUGGUGGAUAGUUGUCUCAUUGGCAAUCAUACCACAUAUUCUAAUUUUUAUAUAGAGACACGUACAAUAAUUUCAAGCAGAAAAUAGAAAAAUUGCAACUCAAGUUUUUGAUUCAUAUAUUUUCAAAAGUGUGGAUUACAUGCAUUUGCU
rnacentral:lncRNA from 1 species